rnacentral:sRNA from 1 species
CUUGGACCCCACAGGUCCAGGCUGGCGCUGGCCUGGGCUCCACAGCCUCCCAAGGCCCCCAUGGGGCCUUGGGCGGGGGCAUCAGCCAUGACCGGACGUUUAGAGUUCUGGUUCCGUCUCUCAUUUGGGGCGUCGGAUAAAAAUCCAGGCUUCCGGACCCAGCCCACACUGCAUCAGAGUCAUCAGGAAACUCUGGUUGUGGCAGGCGCCACAAGUGAGCUGGUUUGACCACUGACUUAGUUCAACACCGCCAUUUCGCUUGUAGAAAAGUGAACCCCGAGAAGGCACAGAACUUACCUGAAGUCGCCAGGCAGUUAGGCAGCAGGGCCGAGGGCUGCCCAGGAGCUGCAGGACAAGCACCAGGAGCCCCUCCGGGUAGCUACUACCCUGGACCCCCCAGUAGUGGAGGGCAGUAUGGUAGUGGGCUACCCCCUGGUGGUGGUUAUGGGGGUCCUGCCCCUGGAGGGCCUUAUGGACCACCAGCUGGUGGAGGGCCCUAUGGACACCCCAAUCCUGGGAUGUUCCCCUCUGGAACUCCAGGAGGACCAUAUGGCGGUGCAGCUCCAGGGGGCCCCUAUGGUCAGCCACCUCCAAGUUCCUACGGUGCCCAGCAGCCUGGGCUUUAUGGACAGGGUGGCGCCCCUCCCAAUGUGGAUCCUGAGGCCUACUCCUGGUUCCAGUCGG